rnacentral:rRNA from 1 species
AUGAACGCUAGCGAUAGGCUUAACACAUGCAAGUCGAGGGGCAGCAUGGUCUUAGCUUGCUAAGGCUGCUGGCGACCGGCGCACGGGUGCGUAACGCGUAUGCAACUUGCCUCACAGAGGGGGAUAACCCGUCGAAAGACGGACUAAUACCGCGUACACUCUAUGUUGGGCAUCCAAUGUAGAGGAAAUGAAAUUCGCUGUGAGAUAGGCAUGCGUCCCAUUAGCUAGUUGGUGAGGUAACGGCUCACCAAGGCGACGAUGGGUAGGGGAACUGAGAGGUUGAACCCCCACACUGGUACUGAGACACGGACCAGACGCCUACGGGAGGCAGCAGUGAGGAAUAUUGGUCAAUGGGCGAGAGCCUGAACCAGCCAAGUCGCGUGAAGGAUGACUGUCUUAUGGAUUGUAAACUUCUUUAAUACGGGAAUAACAAGAGUCACGUGUGGCUCCCUGCAUGUACCGUAUGAAUAAGCAUCGGCUAACUCCGUG